CCCGAUAGCUCAGUUGGUAAAGAAUCUGCCUACAAUGCAGGAGACUCAGGUUCAAUUCCUGGGUCAGGA
rnacentral:tRNA from 1 species